rnacentral:lncRNA from 10 species
AUUUCAGAGACUGGUGAAAGAUGUUUUCAGCACUAGAAUCAAUACUUCGGAUUACAGCUGCUUUUGUGCUCGUCUCUCCCCAGUGAAAACAUUGCUGGGGAAAUGGGAAGAUAUAUGGAAGCUCCAUAUCUCCUGAUAUUUUAGCUCUCAAGAAUCUGUCUGUUCUAAUCAAUUGCUGCAUUUAUUUUGAAGAAUUUUGAAGGCAGGGGUACAGGGUAAGAGGAGAGAAAUGAUAACUUUGAGGCACUUGUUCUAAAGCUGUUGUAUCUGAACAAAUAAGGAGCCAUACGCCCACCUCUGAUUCAGAAUUGCAUUUCUUUUCCUACAGAUCCCAAGCCAAGGGCAUCUUGUAAAAGCUCUUAGUGUAGUUGGGAAAUGCCUCCAUAUUUCUCUUAAUCUAUACUUUCAAGGAAUUCUCAUUCAAGAUGGAGGAUAGACCACCUGCAUUGGGAGAACGGGCCAUCACCUCCCUUGAUAGCCAAAUCCCACAGAAAUGUCCAUCUCAGGCCACACCCUCAGAGACGGAGUUUUGACAUGUCGCCCAGCCUGGUCUUGAACUCCUGAGCUUAAGCGAUCUGCCAGCCUCGGCCUCCCAAAGUGCUGGGAUCACAGGUGUGAACAACCAUGCCCAACUGCAAAGGUUUUUGUUAGAAUUUUUCCAGCAGAUUUUAUUCUUCCUUGGUAACCUUUACUUGUUUUUGCAAACUAAUCAGAAACUUUUGUGCUUGCCUAUUUUGAACAAAGUGUUUUAAAACCCCCGACACUCUUCAUUUGGAAGAUGGUCUAACACGCUAGAAAAGGUCCCAAAUUUCUAAAGUGUGAAAAUAGCAGCAUUUUUAUAGGUAAAACACAUGAUUUUGGGGAAAAAAAAAUUCAUGUCACAU